AGAGUUUGAUCCUGGCUCAGGAUGAACGCUGGCGGCGUGCCUAAUACAUGCAAGUCGAGCGAACGGACGAGAAGCUUGCUUCUCUGAUGUUAGCGGCGGACGGGUGAGUAACACGUGGAUAACCUACCUAUAAGACUGGGAUAACUUCGGGAAACCGGAGCUAAUACCGGAUAAUAUUUUGAACCGCAUGGUUCAAAAGUGAAAGACGGUCUUGCUGUCACUUAUAGAUGGAUCCGCGCUGCAUUAGCUAGUUGGUAAGGUAACGGCUUACCAAGGCAACGAUGCAUAGCCGACCUGAGAGGGUGAUCGGCCACACUGGAACUGAGACACGGUCCAGACUCCUACGGGAGGCAGCAGUAGGGAAUCUUCCGCAAUGGGCGAAAGCCUGACGGAGCAACGCCGCGUGAGUGAUGAAGGUCUUCGGAUCGUAAAACUCUGUUAUUAGGGAAGAACAUAUGUGUAAGUAACUGUGCACAUCUUGACGGUACCUAAUCAGAAAGCCACGGCUAACUACGUGCCAGCAGCCGCGGUAAUACGUAGGUGGCAAGCGUUAUCCGGAAUUAUUGGGCGUAAAGCGCGCGUAGGCGGUUUUUUAAGUCUGAUGUGAAAGCCCACGGCUCAACCGUGGAGGGUCAUUGGAAACUGGAAAACUUGAGUGCAGAAGAGGAAAGUGGAAUUCCAUGUGUAGCGGUGAAAUGCGCAGAGAUAUGGAGGAACACCAGUGGCGAAGGCGACUUUCUGGUCUGUAACUGACGCUGAUGUGCGAAAGCGUGGGGAUCAAACAGGAUUAGAUACCCUGGUAGUCCACGCCGUAAACGAUGAGUGCUAAGUGUUAGGGGGUUUCCGCCCCUUAGUGCUGCAGCUAACGCAUUAAGCACUCCGCCUGGGGAGUACGACCGCAAGGUUGAAACUCAAAGGAAUUGACGGGGACCCGCACAAGCGGUGGAGCAUGUGGUUUAAUUCGAAGCAACGCGAAGAACCUUACCAAAUCUUGACAUCCUUUGACAACUCUAGAGAUAGAGCCUUCCCCUUCGGGGGACAAAGUGACAGGUGGUGCAUGGUUGUCGUCAGCUCGUGUCGUGAGAUGUUGGGUUAAGUCCCGCAACGAGCGCAACCCUUAAGCUUAGUUGCCAUCAUUAAGUUGGGCACUCUAAGUUGACUGCCGGUGACAAACCGGAGGAAGGUGGGGAUGACGUCAAAUCAUCAUGCCCCUUAUGAUUUGGGCUACACACGUGCUACAAUGGACAAUACAAAGGGCAGCGAAACCGCGAGGUCAAGCAAAUCCCAUAAAGUUGUUCUCAGUUCGGAUUGUAGUCUGCAACUCGACUACAUGAAGCUGGAAUCGCUAGUAAUCGUAGAUCAGCAUGCUACGGUGAAUACGUU
rnacentral:rRNA from 1 species